UACAGAGGCCCCAAGCGUUACUGAGAAUCACUGGGUUUAAAGGGUGCGUAGGUGGCGCGUUAAGUCCGUUGUGAAAUCCCUGGGCUCAACCCAGGAAAUGCUUCGGAUACUGGCGUGCUUGAGGCCGGUAGGGGUCGCUGGAACUGACGGUGGAGCGGUGAAAUGCGUAGAUAUCGUCAGGAACGCCAAUGGUGAAGACAGGUGACUGGGCCGGAUCUGACACUGAGGCACGAAAGCGUGGGGAGCGAGCGGG
rnacentral:rRNA from 1 species